GCCUGUGUGACUCAGUGGUUACAGUGUCAGCCUGUGUACCAAAUGGUCAUGGGUUCAAUUCCCCAUCAAGGGCA
rnacentral:tRNA from 1 species